rnacentral:rRNA from 1 species
UCACUGGUCAAGUGAUUCCGCGCCGACAAUGUAGCGGGGCUCAAGUACACCGCCGAAGUUGUGGCAUUCAGAUAUUAGCUAAGCCCUUGUGGUUCAGGCGUCUGGAUGGGUAGGGGAGCGUCGUGUGGGCGGUGAAGUCGCGGUGUAAACCAGCGGUGGAGCCUACACGAGUGAGAAUGCAGGCAUGAGUAGCGAAAGACGGGUGAGAAACCCGUCCGCCGAAUGAUCAAGGGUUCCAGGGUCAAGCUAAUCUGCCCUGGGUAAGUCGGGACCUAAGGCGAGGCCGACAGGCGUAGUCGAUGGACAACGGGUUGAUAUUCCCGUACCGGCGAAAAACCGCCCAUGCUGAACAGGGGAUACUAACUGCCCGAGACCUGCCCGAUCGCCCUUGUGGUGUGAGGGUUUUGGUGGAGCGCAGGACCUGAUCCUGGGAGGCAAGCGUAUUAACAGGUGUGACGCAGGAAGGUAGCCAAGCCGGGCGAUGGUUGUCCCGGUCUAAGGAUGUAGGGCGAACGGUAGGCAAAUCCGCUGUUCAUGAUGCCUGAGAUCUGAUGGGACCCCCGUUUGGGGGGAUUUGGUGAUCCUAUGCUGCCGAGAAAAGCAUCGACGCGAGGUUUAGCCGCC